rnacentral:miRNA from 1 species
UGAGGCAGGAGAAUUGCUUGAACCCAGGAAGUGGAGGUUGCAGUGAGCCGAGAUUGUGCCACUGCACUCCAGCCUGGGUGACAGAGUGAGACUC